rnacentral:tRNA from 1 species
GGUGCUGGGAAUUAGCUUAGUUGGUGAAAGUGCCUGUCUAGUAAACAGGAGAUCCUGGGUUCAAAUCCCAGCAGCACCU